rnacentral:rRNA from 1 species
UACAGAGGUGGCAAGCGUUGUUCGGAAUUACUGGGCGUAAAGCGCGUGUAGGCGGCUCUUCAAGUCAGGCGUGAAGGCCCCGGGCUCAACUCGGGAACUGCGCUUGAUACUGUCGAGCUAGAGUGUGGAAGGGGCGAUUGGAAUUCCGUGUGUAGCGGUGAAAUGCGUAGAUAUACGGAGGAACACCAGAGGCGAAGGCGGAUCGCUGGGCCAACACUGACGCUGAGACGCGAAAGCCAGGGUAGCAAACGGG